GACCUUUUGUUUCCUGGGACACUGUUGUUCCACUCUUGUUUUCUGGGACACUGCAGUCAAAUCUGGAUCUACUUGUAAAACACUCUGACCUUGAACUGUGGGAAGUGCUGGAACUAUAUGACUUAAAGGAUUUUGUCCAGUCACUGCCAAAGAAGCUCCUCCAUGAGAUGUCAAAAGGUGGUGAAAAUCUCAGUGCCUGUUAUGGAUGCAGGAAGGAUUCUAGAAUAUGAUACACCACAGAAUUUGUUACAAUGAAAAGGUGCCUUUUCUGAAAUGGUUGCAGAGGCUGGGAUAAGAAGAUAAUGAAUGAGUGAAUUCUGAAGGAAUGCUGAAGAGAUCUCUGGCAUUCCAUAUAUAUAGGUGCAAUAUUUUAUAUUCCAUAUAAAACAACUGACUUACUCAAGAGCUCCUCGCAACAUUGCUGUUUACUACAGCUACAAUCUGUAUAUAUUGAGCACGUUUCUUAAAAUUCAGAUUUUAUACAAGUCACUUGUUUUUAUUAUAUUGGCACUGGGAAAACAGAAUGAAGUGGGGAUUUUCAUGGCAUAUGUUUAAACUGUUGCAUUAAUAAAGACUGAUUGAAAAAUAAA